rnacentral:tRNA from 24 species
UGCGAAGGUGGCGGAAUUGGUAGACGCGCUAGCUUCAGGUGUUAGUGUCCUUACGGACGUGGGGGUUCAAGUCCCCCCCCUCGCACCAC